rnacentral:rRNA from 1 species
AUGGACGCCAUGGAGAGAGGCCAGCGUGCGCCGCUCCAGCCCGAGAGUCAUGGCCCAAAGGUUCAAGAGGACGACAGCCUGCAGCUGCAGGUGCCACUCCUCAAGCAUAAGAAGCGGGGCGGCAGCAAGGCACCCGCAGUAAUUCUAUUGUUCGAAUGCCUGGAGAGCACGGCGUUCAAUGGCAUCUCCACCAACCUGGUGGUGUACCUGGAGACCGUCCUCCACGGCACCAACCUCGCCAGCGCAUCCAACGUCGCCACCUGGUUCGGCACCAGCUACCUCACCCCCGUCUUCGGCGCCAUCAUCGCCGACUCCUUCUGGGGCAACUACAACACCAUCCUCGUCUCCCUCGUCGUCUACCUUCUCGGCAUGAUGCUCGUCACCUUCUCCGCCUUCGUGCCCACCACCACGGCGGCGCUGUGCGCGGCGGGCGCGUCGUGCGCCGGCACCGCCGGCACGUGGGGGCUGAGCUCGCAGGCCGUGGCUUUCGUGGGGCUGUACCUCGUGGCGAUCGGGUGCGGCGGGGUGCGCUCGUCGCUGCUGCCAUUCGGCGCCGAGCAGUUCGAUGACGACAGCCCGGCCGACCGGGAGGGCAAGGCGUCCUUCUUCAGCUGGUUCUACCUCUGCGUGAGCUUCGGCCCCAUCAUCUCCGGCGUGUUCCUCGUCUGGAUCCAGCAGAACGUCAGCUGGGGCCUCGGAUUCGGCAUCGCCACCGCCUGCAUAGCGCUCGCCUUCGCCGCCUUCAUGCUCGCCACGCCCAUGUACAAGCGCCGCAUGCCCGCCGGUACGCCGCUCAAGAGCCUGUGCCAGGUCGUCGCUGCCGCGUGCAAGAAGAUUAGCGUCAAGGUGCCCGCCGAAGCCGGACACCUCUACGAGGUCAGUGACAAGAUCGACUCGCCCCAGCCCAGGAUCGCGCACACCAGCGACUUCAAGUUCCUCGACAAGGCGGCCAUCGUCACGGAGUCGGACAUGGAGGAGAGGCCGGAGGCGGCGACCUCGUGGAAGCUCUGCACCGUGACUCAGGUGGAGGAGCUCAAGAUCCUCCUCCGCCUGCUGCCCGUGUGGAUAACCAGCGUCAUCGUGUCAUCGGCCUUCUCGCAGAUGAACACCACGUUCGUGCAGCAGGGCAGUGCCAUGGAAAUGACCAUCCUGUCGGUGCCGGUGCCCGCGGCGUCGCUGGCCUCCUUCGAGGUGAUCUGCGUCAUGACAUGGGUGCUCCUCUACAACAAGGUGAUCGUGCCGGCGUUGAGGAGCUUCUCCUCGAGCGGUGACGGCGAGCCGUCGCAGCUGCAGCGGAUGGGUGCCGGGCGGCUCCUCAUGGCGCUCACCAUGGCGGUGGCAGCGCUCGUGGAAAUGAAGCGGCUCGACAGCGCGGCGCGUGGGGAAGAAAUCAGCAUUUCGUGGCAGCUGCCCCAGUACUUCUUCCUUGCCGGCGGGGAGGUCUUCUGCUACAUCGCGCAGCUGGAGUUCUUCUUUGACGAGGCGCCGGACACCAUGAAGAGCAUGUGCACGUCGCUCGCUCUGCUCACCAUCGCGCUGGGGAGCUACAUGAGCUCCUUCAUCUACGCCAUCGUGGAGGCCUUCACGGCGACGGGAGACAGCCCCGGGUGGAUCUCCGACGACCUCAACAAGGGCCACCUCGACUACUUCUUCUGGGCCAUGGCUGCAAUGUGCACGCUCAACUUCGUCGUGUACAGCGGCAUCGUCAAGAACUACAGGCUCAAGACGGUCAUCUCGUGA